rnacentral:tRNA from 1 species
UGGCUCCGUUGGUAGAGCAUGGUGUUUGCAACGCCAGGGUUGUGGGUUUGUUUCCCAC